UAAGGAAUAUUGGUCAAUGGGGGCAACCCUGAACCAGCCAUGCCGCGUGCAGGAUGACUGCCCUACGGGUUGUAAACUGCUUUUAUCUAGGAAUAACCCUCGGUACGUGUACCGAGCUGAAUGUACUAGAAGAAUAAGGAUCGGCUAACUCCGUGCCAGCAGCCGCGGUAAUACGGAGGAUCCAAGCGUUAUCCGGAUUUAUUGGGUUUAAAGGGUGCGUAGGCGGCACUUUAAGUCAGGGGUGAAAUACGGCAGCUUAACUGUCGCAGUGCCUUUGAUACUGAAGUGCUUGAAUGCGGUUGAAGACGGCGGAAUGAGACAAGUAGCGGUGAAAUGCAUAGAUAUGUCUCAGAACACCAAUUGCGAAGGCAGCUGUCUAAAGCGUUAUUGACGCUGAUGCACGAAAGCGUGGGGAUCGAACAG
rnacentral:rRNA from 1 species